rnacentral:rRNA from 1 species
ACAGAGGUUGCAAACGUUGUUCGGAAUCACUGGGCAUAAAGCGCACGUAGGCGGCUUUGUAAGUUAGAGGUGAAAGCCCAGGGCUCAACCCUGGAAUUGCCUUUAAGACUGCAUCGCUUGAACAUCGGAGAGGUAAGUGGAAUUCCGAGUGUAGAGGUGAAAUUCGUAGAUAUUCGGAAGAACACCAGUGGCGAUGGCGACUAACUGGACAUGUAUUGACGCUGAGGUGCGAAAGCGUGGGGAGCAAACAGGA